CUACGGGCCGCAGCAGUGGGGAAUAUUGGGCAAUGGGCGCAAGCCUGACCCAGCAACGCCGCGUGAGGGAAGAAUGUCUUCGGAUUGUAAACCUCUGUCCUUGGGGACGAAAAAAAUGACGGUACCCAAGGAGGAAGCUCCGGCUAACUACGUGCCAGCAGCCGCGGUAAUACGUAGGGAGCAAGCGUUGUCCGGAAUUAUUGGGCGUAAAGGGUGCGUAGGCGGCGCUGUAAGUCAGAUGUGAAAUCCCCGGGCUUAACUCGGGAGUUGCAUUUGAAACUACAGUGCUUGAGUAAAGAAGGGGUAAGUGGAAUUCCUAGUGUAGCGGUGGAAUGCGUAGAUAUUAGGAGGAACACCAGUGGCGAAGGCGACUUACUGGUCUUUUACUGACGCUGAGGCACGAAAGCGUGGGGAGCAAACAGGAUUAGAUACCCGAGUAGUC
rnacentral:rRNA from 1 species